rnacentral:lncRNA from 1 species
CCGGUCACUAUGCUGGGUCAGGCAGCGCCAACGACCUGCCCAGGUUCCGCUUCCUAUGCAAGGCCAACGUCGCCGCCAUGGAGGUGGCCCUCAGGAUCGCCAACGUCAACCCUUACAAGGUGGUAAGUCCUGACGGUUUCAGUUACCAGAAGUUGCAACAUUCGUAUACUUGCUUUCCAGCAUUUCAGUUUUGUGUCUGACCGUCAACUAACGAAAAGGCGCUUACUUACCGCAGAUUAUUUUUCGGCGACAGCGUGCACAACAUUCAGGCAAGCAUGGGAUUGGCCUCCAAAGAGUGCUGGUAAGUCAUUGCUUGACAUGCAAACCCUUCACACAGUAAUGGAUGCAAUGGGUGCUGGCAUUGUGAUAUUCAUUAGCUUAAAAUCCUAGCCUGAGAAAGCUAAUUUAGCACAAAGUUUAUGAAUUAUGUUCCUUACUCUAUUAGAGAAGAAUGUGUUGAUUAAUAUCCCUCACUGCCUUUUAAGUCUUUCAUUUCUCCAUGGCAACGCAUGUGCGUAGUGCUGUCGUGGUAGAGCGUGGGAUGAAAGGUGGGUCCAGUAAUAAAACCAGGAGGUACUACCGCCCUUGUCCCUUGCUGUUAGCCUGGCACGAUGGUGUCAUGGGCGGCGCUUCGUCCCCCUAGAUGGCGACCGCGGAUCGACACAAACAGGAGGGGAGGGGUUGGCAGGGGACUCCUUGACGGUCCGUGAGCAAGAACAUUGUGAGGAAGAAAGGGCAUCACAGCGAAGGUGAGGUGGGCAUCAACGACGCAGCCAGGCCCCGGGCAACAGCAAGGGACCCCGCCUUAUCGCUCCAUGGCCUCGUGGCCGAGGGGCCAGGCGGGUCCUCACCGCCUUCCACACCAGUGGCAUGGACAGGGUGGUGUAUACCGGUUGAAUCUUGGAGUGAAUAAUUAGUUGUAGAAAUAAUUUCGUUCCUGCUGUGCAGUUGCAAAUUUUUAUUGUCCAUCAGUUGUAAUUAGUUGUAGAUAAUUUUUUCACACAAAUGAGUUAUUUUAAUUUUUACUGUUGGGUCAGUAAGUUAUAUUCUUUUUAAAAUUGUAUCAGAACACAGUCAUAGGCCACAUGCGGCGUACAUGUUGUCAAUUACAAUGAUAUUUUGAUCAAUAUCUAUAUAUCUAAGUUCGUUGUAGUUA